ensembl:snoRNA
AUCCUUUUGUGGUUCAUAAGCGUGAUGCAUGAGCCUGCACACGACUGUGUGACAAGUGCCUCCCUCCAACCUUGUUACGACUUCGGCACAUUACCCAUCUGACC